rnacentral:rRNA from 1 species
CAGCCGCCGCGGUAAUACGAAGGGGGCUAGCGUUGUUCGGAAUCACUGGGCGUAAAGCGCACGUAGGCGGACUUUUAAGUCAGGGGUGAAAUCCCAAGGCUCAACCUUGGAACUGCCUUUGAUACUGGAAGUCUUGAGUUCGGGAGAGGUGAGUGGAACUGCGAGUGUAGAGGUGAAAUUCGUAGAUAUUCGCAAGAACACCAGUGGCGAAGGCGGCUCACUGGCCCGAUACUGACGCUGAGGUGCGAAAGCGUGGGGAGCAAACAGGAUUAGAUACCCCCGUAGUCCCUGUCUCUUAUAC